AGUGAGGCCUGGAGGCUGUUGCCAGCUACAUGCCUGGGAACGUAAAUGAACUCACUCAGGGAAAGUUGUUUGUAAUAAUUUGCUUCCUCUCCAAUUCUCUUGCCCCAGCACAUACUUGAAGGGGAUAAGUUCUACCCAGUCAGUGACAAACGCAGCAGAAGCAAAGAGAGAAAAAAAUAUAUAUUUGGAAGUAGUAUUUUUGAAGCCAUAGGAUGGAGUCACUCCCGGCACACUGCAGCCCACAAAGUUUAGAAUCUGAAGAGAGAAGCACUUCCCUGACCUGACUUGAGACACCUUGUGAUUUUUUUUAGUUUGAGAAAACUUCAUUUGACCAGGAUAAGAACCAUAUAAGCAUAGGAAAAGCAGCAUACAAAAUUCACAUAAAUGAUUUCUUUCCCUUAUCCUAAACUUUUCUUGAUCUUUUUGACUCUUUCUCUUUUUCUGGAUAUAAAUGAACAAAGAUGAUAUAGGAUAUUUUUCCCACCCAUUUGCGUUUUUCAGUCUGAUUGGACUUUUCAAAUAAGGACUAUGUUAGAUAUUUAGAGUAGACACUGAAGUCAUAAAGAAGGUUGGGCACGAUGAGGAAAUAUGAAGUCUUGGAAACCAUAUCCAAAGUUGGAAGCUAGAAUUUCUAGUGCACCUUUCUCUAACUGUUAUCCAUUUAGACUAAGAGGUAUUAAAGAUUGGAUAAAAUAUUGGCAUACACAGGGGUCCCCAACUCCCAGUCUGUGGACUGGUAUUGGUCCACAACCUGUUGGGAAAUGGUCCAUGCAAGCAGCAGGUAAGCAUGCAGAGCUUCAUUUGCAUGAGGUCUAGAUUUUGUGCUCAUGAAACCAGCCCCUCCCUCCCACCGCCAUGUACUACCAACGCCACCGCUAGUCCAUGAAGCCAGAAAGGUUGAGGACUGCUGGUAUAGCACAUAGUGGAGAUUAAUUUGGAACAUUUUAGGGAGAAACUUAGUGAAAAGGGAAAGAGCCCGUUUUAUCCAAAUGGAGCAAAACUGCUUGAACUUAUCAUCAAAAAAUUGUUAAGCAGAUUUUGGGGAGAAUUCAAUGAAUCUGAAAACCUAAAGACCACAUAUACAUUUAAUAAACAAAAACAAUAACAAUUAUUAUGGUUUAUCACACAGUCAAACAGAUAUUUAGAUUGGAUUUAGUAUUUUUAUCCACUUAUGGGGUUUUUCCCAAGGACCCGGGAUAGUGAGAUGUUGUUGUUUGAUGACAUUACUAUUCUGAAGAGAUGACAGUAUUUUUUUUUUUUGUUUCCCCAAUAGAAGAUAGGUCAGAAAUAGGACAUAAACUAAUAGCAGAACAUGAUAUCCAAAAAGCCCAAAGGGAAGUCAAGCAGCAAAAAUAUUUGGAGAACAAUCCCAUAUUAGUGUUUUUAUACUAAUGCUAGAAGUUUCAAAUUGUUCCCAAAUGCUUGUUGCAAUGUCAUAUUAAUAGGUCUGUAAAGUACAAGGAUGUAAAGAAAAUCUAAACAUUCAUCAGUAAAUGAAUGGCAAACAUACACGUAAAUAAUAAUAAUCAUUCACAAGCAGAGUUCAGAUUUUCACCAAAACAUUUUUCACCUGCCUUCAGUCAGUGAUAUCAUGGGUGAUAAAAUAACUAUCAUGGCAGUAAUAAGCUAAAUACUAUUUGUUGUGAUCAACAACAACACUAACUCUGCCACUAUAAUAAUGGCAUUUUGCAAUUUUAAGUACCUUCAAGGAGAAAACAAGGAAUGGGUGAGUGGGCCGUUUGUUUUAAUGAUUUCUACAUAGGUAACUGAUGUUGUGUGUUGAAGCAGAAAUGGAAGAUCUCCUGUAACAUACUGUAAAAGACUAUCUUGUGAGAUAAUCUUUUAUGGAGUAUAGCAGACUUGAAAUGCAGGCAUAAAGAAAUGAAGAAAACCAGUAAUAGAAGGUCAUCAUUGGAUACAAACUGUAAAAAACUGGGUGUCAAUGCUGCAAAUAUUGUAUAUUUGAGAUUAAUCGUGUUGGGCUCAACAUCACAAUUUGUUUGUUUAUGAAUUUUAUUUGCCGCCCAUCUCAUAUCCAAUGACUCUGGGCAGCUACAAUAGCAUAUCUUGAAUGUAAAUUGGAGGUCAAACACUAUCACCAUCCCCAACUGCUUGCUAGAAAUGGUAUACCUUUGUGUCACAGAAAGCAUGGUAACCAAUACAGCAAAUUUCUCAAAAGGAAAAAAACUACCCCCAUGGAAUUAUUGUUAGUUAUGCUAUCAAAUUCUCCAAAUUGUUUUAUGCUGCGGGCAUGCUAUUGUCCACCUGCCCAAAAUAUUAGGAGUGACCCUGAAAUGGACAAUUUAAUCAGGGAGGCAUCCCAAAAGACAUACUGUGUAAACUGAGGUAAUAUCAAUUGUCGUAAUAGAAAAGAAGCAACAUUCUUUCACUUCCAAGGAUGGACCUGAAUCCCUUUCUACAGGAUAGGACACAUCUAUACAGCACGCAAGAUAUAGUAAGACAUAUACAGUAAGUGUUUCACUGACCAAAAACACGAUCCCAAUACUGUCAAACUUUAUUUAAAUGUCACAGGGAAAAUGUGCAGAAAAUCCAGCUUAUGUCAGAAUUUUUUUUUAAAAGAGUGGGGGGGGGGACAAGUAAAAAGGAAACAAAGAAAAUGGAGUGUGAAAACUCUUGAGAUUAAUCAUGUUGGGCUCAACAUCACAAUUUGUUUAUUUAUGAACUUUAUUUGCCGCCCAUCUCAUAUCCAAUGACUCUGUGCAGCUAUAAUAGCAUAGCUUGAAUGUAAAUUGCAGGUCAAACACUAUCACCAUCCCCAAGAGGAUAGGCAGUGUUAAGGAAGCUAAGAUUUUAGAUUCCUUUAGAUUAGAGAUGGGCAACUGAGGGUCUAUGGCCACAUGUAAUGAUUAUACCUUACUUGUAUCCUGAAACUCCCAAGACUAUUUCCAUCAAAACUUAGCAGUAAAGUUCUGAAUUUCAAAAACACACUUUUGAGUAGGAGGGGCUGGUGGGUUGAUUGGUGGAAAGGGUAGCAAUUUGAUUUCUAGAACCUUCUAUUCCCAUUCCCAUUCUCUUAAUCUCCCUCAAAAAGAAACAAACAAAAGCAGGUAAAAGAAAUGCAGCAUGGCUCUUCUGCUGACCUUACUACGUCACCAGAUAUCUUUUUUGCAGUCCUACAGAAACUGGAAAGUUUUAAUUCUUCAGCUCUGUUUUAGAAAAUGGAUGCCUUACUAAAAAAAUAAAAAUGAAAAUGAAAAGCUUCAAAUUCAGAGGUCAUAAUCAUUUCAGUAUUAGUUGCUGAGAAACACUAGUGAGAAAGCAUUAUUUCAUUCUGUUUUAUUAGUGAGCUUCACAAAAGCAUCAAGUUGGUCUCUAUGAAAGGAAUAGGUGGUAAAAUUGGCCUAUUGAUCCAGUGCAACCCUUAUGUUCUUACUGUUGGAGCUUAACUACUCAGUGCUGGAGGCAGGAAAAAUAGCCUACAUUGCAUUUCCAAUAUUAGUAUUAGACCUUCAAAUGUGGUGGUGGGAGGGGUUUGUUAACCCUGUUGAGUUAAAAUGUGACAAUUUCAGGAGCUUUUGUUUGUUCCUGUAAUCUUAUGAAUUGCUUGCUUUAGCCUUGAAAGUGUAGAGUAUUUAUGAUGGAAAGUGAAUCAUAAAGGGAAAAAGUUUCUGGAGAGCUGAAUAUGAUUUCAUUUCUAAAGUUUUAAACAACAGGUCUUGGCUUAUGAAUGAUCCAAGAUGCCUGAUCCCAAAAUCUUGAUGACAAUGCAGUCAGGUAUCUUCUGAGCUCCUGUGGGCCAGGUAAAGUUGUUGGGAGCAUGUCCUUCCCCUCUAGUCAAAUGGUACUGCCCAUCACAACCAUUUUGACUUGGACUGCAAGAGACCCAGACAUCUGACUUAAGUUUGCCUGACUUGUCUUCACAAAGCAUGAUUCAGACUUUAGGUGUACCCAACUGUGGCUCUGUUCUGCCAGCACCGGAGCUACCUUGCAGAUCUCUGAUGCAUUUGGUUGUUGUUAGUUGCGAAGUCGUGUCUGACCCAUUGCGACCCCAUAGACAACAUUCCUCCAAGCCUUCCUGUCCUCUACCAUCUUCUGGAGUCCAUUUAAGCUCACUCCUACUGCUUCAGUGACUCCAUCCAGCCAUCUCAUUCUCUGUCGUCCCCUUCUUCUAUUGCCCUCAAUCUUUCCCAGCAUUAGGCUCUUCUCCAGUGAGUCCUUCCUUCUUAUUAGAUGGUCAAAGUAUUUGAAAUGCAUUUGGAGGGGGUAAAAUUGACAGCAGUUCUUCCAAUUUCCUCUUCUAGCUCUAUAGGCACAGCAGCCCCUCUGACAGGUCAGUGGGCUGGAAGAUGGGUCAGGGUAAAGGCAAUGCAGUUCUCUGACUGCACCACCCAGGCUUCUUCAUGCUUCAUUGCCUACCUAUUCUUUGCUUGUCUGCCCAACAAGCUAUCAGCUAGCCUAUUUAUAGACAUAGAUCUAUUGGUCUACCAAAAGAUUCCUAUGUUCAGAAUUAGUCUGACUCUUAGGAUACCAGUGUAUGGCACCUCCAUACUGAAGAACUGUCUCUUGGGCAACUUCAGUCAUUUAUCCAAGACUGUUCCAUCACAUUUUUAAAGAAAAUUUGGUCUAACCAUUAUCAGGAACUGGGUCAGUGUAGGAAAGAUGAAAACUGAAAUGUGCUGUAAUUUAGGACUAAAAUCUAUGUUUGAUAUGAUAAAUGCCCAGACCAUGGGGAAAAGAAACCUCUAUCUUUCUGUGCCCUAACCAACAUUGUAACACUAGUUGAGAGUGGGCUGUUUGAAGGAUACACUGGAGUUUCUUAUCUUAGCAACUGAACAACAGCAUCAAGAUUGCAGGGCCAAUUGCAGUCCCUAUCUGUGGUUGAAUUUUUACCAUUAUCAAUUUCCCAUGUUGUCAAAAGUUCCAACUGAGAAAUAGGAAAAAUUUGGGAAGUGGAGAGAAACUUUGUCUAUUUACAUGUCUUUCUGCGUAGCAAUUUUCCCUUAACGCUCUAGAAUGCAAAGCAGAUUGUAAAUUUGAAUUAGGCUAGGGUAGCCCUGGUGAAAUUUUAAUUCAAAAUAUAAUGGACAUUCUUUAAGUAGAAGAGAUAUAGUGUUGCAAAAUGGUGGUCUUUAGGGAUACCAGAUAAAAUGAACAUACUGAAUUCUACCUUUUCCUUGAUAAUUUUUUGUUAUAUAUGUAGAAUCAAGAUCACGUGAAGUGUUAAUACCACUUUACAAUGCCUUGGUAAGGCCACAUUUCGAAUACUGCAUCCAGUUUUAGUCACCGCGAUAUAAAAAAGAUGU